ensembl:lncRNA
AUGCUAAAGCCCCACCUAAAAUAGGCCUAGCGACAUCCCUGGUAGCUGGUACCAGAUACCUAUUUUUGUACCUGCUUCGUCGAGGUUCCAAGCGAGCUGAGGCGAUACCCAAAUGUGCCGUGAAAACACGGAAGACUUCGGAUUGGACUCAAAGCGUGCAGCAAAGCAAAACAAGCUUUUCUGUUGUUAGCCGUCCAGUGUCAGAAAAUUGUUUUAUGAGAUGAGAACAGCAUGUCUUUGCCAGUCUGUCCCAGGAGUCCUUGCAUUGAGAUUGAUUAAUUCAGUGCCAGUGCAUAGGACCCGACUCAUAAUUUAAGUGUUCGUAUUUUCACAAAACUCCAAUAGUUUGGACCUAUUCACUGGCAUUGAAAUCAACUCGUUAACCCCAUGAGAAACACACAGACACUCUGUUUUUGAGCCUACAAAAGGACCUCGUCUUUUUCCUCUGGGAUUUUCUAAAGGCUGUCUGGCAUACAUUGCACUGGUCAAAGUAGCAAUGUCAAGCCAAACAGAAGCAGCCUACAAAGCUUUCUAAUUAUUUUUGCAGUCUGCAAUGUAUUAAGACCAAAGUUACUGCUCAGACGUGCUUCCUCGCUACUACCAGCAUAAACGCUGCCUUGUGUACAGUAGGCUACUGAGUCAGUCAGCAAUUAUUUAUACCUUUUAAUCGGGUUUUAGAGGUUGUGUAGGUUAUUUUACAUGUGUUUGUGUUGAGUUGUUAGGUGUAUACACUUAAAUCUAACAGAACAUUGCAGUUACGUCAUCUUUAAUUUAUAUUAUACCUUUUCACUGUUUUUCAAACAGGGUCUGUGACCAUGUCAUCCAGAUUUAGUUUACUUUUCAUUUGCCACUUUAUGUUCAAAGCUUGUCAAUUUAAAAGAAAAUGUAUGUUAAUUCAGUGGAUUUGUCUGUUCACAGCAGGGUUCAUGUUAGUUGGCAAAUGCUGGCUUUUGGCUGGUAUCAGGUAUACGAUAUCUCCAUUGUUGUUCUCGUGUGUGUCGCGUUGGAGGUGGCGUCACAACAGUUUUCCUGUGAUGUCAUUAUGGGCGGGUACAGGGUACAAUCUGCAGUGGAGAACCAACCAAGGCGCGGCGUGUAGAGCCGAGUCAAGCUGGUCUUAUGUGGUGGAAAAGCUCCCAAAGCGAGUAGAGUUGAGGUGAGGCGAGUUGAGCCGAGUCGAGCUGGCCUUAUGUGGUUGAAAAGCUCCCAAAGCGAGUAGAGUCGAGGUGAGGCGAGUUGAGCCGACACCAUGCAAUGGAAAAGCACCAUUAGAUGGAUAUUUAUUCCUGACUAACAGGUUACAUCACUGUGCAGUGAGUUUCAAAGCCUCAAGAAAAACAAACAAUUUUUAUUGAAAGCCUCAAACGCUUCAGAAAGCCUAAUUUGCCUAUCACUACCUAGCCCUAACCUUAAUAAAUAGCCCUAACCUUAAUACAUAGCCUUAACCCUAAUAGAUAGCUCUAACCUUAAUACCUAGCCCUAAACUUAACAUAUAGCCCUAACCCUAAUACCGAGCCCUAACUUUAACAUUUCUUGGACACUGGACACAGGCACAGAGGUAUUGAAACAAACUUACUUUACAGUAAAUACUCAUGAACAUCAAACGUUGCAUGGAACAAUGACAGACAACAAAAACUAGGGCUGGAGGAACUCAAAUAGGGACAUAAAGAGGAGGCAAACAAGGAUUAGGGGAUUACCAUAGUGACACUAAACUAAACAUAAAAUCAGAGGUACUAGAACUGGAAGAUAUAGAAUAUAGAAACGAAACGACCGGCACAGCACAAACUUUCGGUCCUGGCUGGGGGCCCCUAGGCAUCUCUAUGCGUGUGGGGGUCACAGUCAGGGCAUUGCUACAGAGGUGCCUCUAGGCACCUCUAUGUUCCCUUUACUCCCUUUUAGCGGAAGCUGCCCUGUGUUACCUCUAAUUGGGGACUCUAUUUAAGUUGCCUUUAUUGGGCCUUUAGUUGUGGAUCAUUGCUUGUCCCAGUCAUGUCUGCGUUAUGUGCCUCAGUUCACAUUGUAGCGCGCCUUAUUUUUUUUUCUUUCUGUUCAAGAAUAAAAAAGGAUGUUUCCCUGUCACUCCUCUGUGCCGUCUGUCCUUCCUGCACUUCAGCGUGAUACAGGCCAUGACGGACCGUGACACUAACAUUAAUACCAAGCCCUAACUUUAAUACAUAGCCCAAACUUUCAUACCAAGCCCUAACUUUAGUAUAUAGCCCUAACUUUAAUACAUAGCCCUAACCACAAUAUCUUAUAUAAUUGUAAAGGAUUAAUGUAUUACCAUAUCCAUAUUUAUCCAUUAUUCUGAAAAUUAAAUAGACUGUUUUAGACUAGGCCUGAAUUUGCAUUAGACUGUUCAUGGUUGUCAUAGAUACAAGAAGACCUAGGUCAGCAUGCCCUGUUCUUAGAAGUGAUUAUGGCCACAACCAAGGCACCAGGCCUCAAACCUAUCUUAUCUAUGACCCAACUAAAGAUGGCUCCAAGGUGAAGUUGCCUGUGUCUCCUCUGUAUCCUUCCAUUUGGGCAGAACAGAGUCUAGGGGUAGCUCAGAUAAGGUGCUCUGUUAACUCUGACCUAGAACUAUGGUUGCCAUGACAGUGUAGGGUCCUAUCUUGCUUUCCUUAUUAGUAUGACGACUUGUUUUUGUAUGUAUGAGAGAAUAUUUUUGGAGCUGACAAGGAGGGGUAUAAAGAGGUUAAAGAAAUAAUGUAUAAUCAGAACAAUUGUUAUGACACUACAAUGUUGGUCUCUGUGUAAAAGCGAUUGUUCCCGUGAAUAGACAUAAUUAAACUCAAAUAAUUAAUUGUUAUACGAACGACUGUUGAGUCUCUUUUCUCAAUUUGGCACCCCAGAUGGGACUUCAAUAUCUUCACGACAAUUAUGUUUGCUUUUCUAUUCUCUCUGGCUGACUGAACUACGUGCACAAUAGAAGUAAGCGAAAUGUUCGCAGUAGUUCAUAUGAGUCUGUUUUGGGAAUUGUUUGCCCCGGAGCGGGAAGUGACAAAGUCCAAUUUAUAUAUACAAAAUACCAGUUGAUUAUGGAUGUUACAUGUUUUAUUAUUGUCUUGUAUUGUUAUAUAUAUAUAUACAGUCUUUAGAGGUUUUUUAAAAUAAACUAAAGACCAACUUAUUUUCGAUUGCAUUUUCUUUAUAUAAUUUUGUUUUUAUACUGUUUUUGACUGUUCUUAUGUUUUAGUGUUUUUAUCUGUGCAUCUGUAGCACUUUGAGAUGUGUCCUUCACGUGUAAAGUGCAAUACAAAUAAAACGUAUUAUUAUUAUUAUAUAUAAAAUUAAUAUAAAAUUAAAAACAGAAAGACGAUAUCGAAACUAGGAAAAAGUAAUCACUGACAGGGAUAAACAAGAAACCAGUUCAGCCGGCCCGCAAUAAAAAGUGUUGCCCUCUCAAGAUUCAAACCCAGGACACCCAUGUGAAAGGCUGUGUUGUUAACCACUACACCACAGAGCUGUACAUUCAGCAGUUGUCCAUAUAGCCUCUUGUGUUUAUCUUGAUCAAAUCCUCUUUUGCCACUGGCAAUUCGUGAAUGACAUUGAUAUAGUCAAACUGACUAACGUUUCUUACUAAGUUUACCUCCACCGUUUUAACAGCAUAUUAGCCAGUAAUAGGCUUUACCGCUGUCUACUAACUUACUGGUGAGAGGAAAUGGGCAUGAGAAACUUAACACAACGCAUAUGUGCUGACUAAUGCUGAACAGCGGACAAUAGAUGUGGCCAUUACUGAUAGGCCCCACACAACCUGUCCACACCUCCUGCUAGGAACUGUCCAUAGGAGUGUCAUAGAUUCUAUCGAUAGACCCAUGGACCAUAGGGGAGGUUGGAACAUACCAAACAAGCAUAUUGUGUAGGAUAAACCUUUCUUAUUGGAGGAUAAUAGAUUGUGUAAUGGUUGGCUACAAUCACUGACCGCCUACUAUGUGUAUUGGCAUAAAAGACUGUGUUAACUCUGUAAUUAUUGGAGAGAAAAUGAAAGAAUGAAAGGUUAACAUCGUAGCCUCAUACUGAAUAAAGAUUGCUCUCCCCUGACUUUCGGUUGCAAUUAUUUUGUUCAUGGAUCAAAACUGGACAGAAUCUAACACUGGAAUAAUCAUAAGAACUGAGCAAUUGCUAGCGAGUCUGCCAAAG